UGUGUGACCCUCCUAUUGGCUGUUAAAACAGUGGUCCCCAUGGAAUUGGAAUUUCCCCAACAAUCUCAUACUGGGAAGAGAAGGAGAAGGCUGAAGUCUGGUACCAGCCCGUAGGAUCUGGAAGUGGUCAAAGUUGACUGUAAAAAAGGAGAAGACGACAAUCAGUCUGUCCAACCCUGGCAAUGAGGCUACUGCAGGCCAAGCAUGCUGACGCACGCCACCCACCUGCUGUCACCCUGAAUCACACCAUCCCUUGUCACCGUUUAGCUGCAUCUUUACCCUCCAGUCCUCACUGACCAGCAUCUACCAACCUCUGCACUGAAGCAGGUCAACAAGGUUAAAGGAAAAGAAGAAAACAAUGGACUUAGAACACAGCUCAAGUGGCUGUCACGUGCUGGGACAUAUGCAUAUCCUAACAAUAAUCUCCAUGGUUUGGAAAGCAAAUGCCACUAUGGGUCUCUGCCACCUGCCCCAGACACCAUAGCCAGCUCUCCAGAGGCAUGACUAAAAGCUACCAGGACUCAGAUUCUGAGUCCCUGCAUGGGAGACAGAUUCUUAUCCAUACCAGAAAAGCAAAAACAAAAACAAACCAAUGUUAUUGUUUAGUGGGUGGGGCUGGCUACUGUCAAAAGAUUCCUUUUUGAUUAAAAAACAAAAAAAAACAAAAAACAAACAAAAAAAACAAGCAA